GCUACCUCCUUGUGGGACCUGUAAUCCACUACCAGCUGAAGUGGACCGGUGGUUCUUUUGCCAUUGAAAUUCGACCAAAGGACAAAAGUUACAGAAGCUGCUGCCUACUCAUCAAGAUAUUUGUGCAGAACAUUUGUGAAGAACUAGCUGAGAAUCCAAAACAAUAUGUUUAUAAAUAAGUAAUUUAUGACUCCCAGUCCACUGUACACAUUAAAAAAAGAGAGAGAUUAGAUGAUGUAAAACUCCAACUAAAGUCUUUAAAUAUAUAUCGUGAAACUCACAGACACA